GGACGAACGCUGGCGGCGUGCCUAACACAUGCAAGUCGAGCGAGGAGAUCCUCGGGAUGAUCCUAGCGGCGGACGGGUAAGUAACACGUGGGCAACCUGCCUCAUAGAGAGGAAUAGCCUUCCGAAAGGGAGAUUAAUACCUCAUAACAUUGCAGUUUCGCAUGGAACAGCAAUUAAAGGAGCAAUCCGCUAUGAGAUGGGCCCGCGGCGCAUUAGCUAGUUGGUGAGGUAACGGCUCACCAAGGCGACGAUGCGUAGCCGACCUGAGAGGGUGAUCGGCCACAUUGGGACUGAGACACGGCCCAGACUCCUACGGGAGGCAGCAGUGGGGAAUAUUGCACAAUGGGGGAAACCCUGAUGCAGCCAACGCCGCGUGAGUGAUGACGGCCUUCGGGUUGUAAAGCUCUGUCUUCAGGGACGAUAAUGACGGUACCUGAGGAGGAAGCCACGGCUAACUACGUGCCAGCAGCUGC
rnacentral:rRNA from 1 species